rnacentral:rRNA from 1 species
UAAAACCUAUUUAUAAUGGCGGCAUUUUAUCUUAAUAGAGGAACCUGUAUUUUAAUCGACAAUCCACGUUAAAUUUCACUUAAAUUAAAAAUUUAUAUACCGCCAUCUAAAAAACUAAUUUUAUAAUAUUAUUUUAAAUAAAAAAUAAAAAGUUAGGUCAAGGUGUAAUCUAUAUUUAAGGAAAUAAUGGGUUACAUUAAAAUAAAUUUAAGGACUUUUAUAUAAAAAUAUAUCAUGAAAAAGGAUUUAUAAGUAUUAUUAUAAUAAUAUUCUAUUAUG